rnacentral:rRNA from 1 species
UACGAAGGGGGCUAGCGUUGCUCGGAAUCACUGGGCGUAAAGCGCACGUAGGCGGCUCUUUAAGUCGGAGGUGAAAUCCUGGAGCUCAACUCCAGAACUGCCUUCGAUACUGAAGAGCUCGAGUCCGGGAGAGGUGAGUGGAACUGCGAGUGUAGAGGUGAAAUUCGUAGAUAUUCGCAAGAACACCAGUGGCGAAGGCGGCUCACUGGCCCGGUACUGACGCUGAGGUGCGAAAGCGUGGGGAGCAAACAGG